GGGGACGAAAAAGGGUCUUUUCAGAUCAACUGACGGUACCCUAGGAAUAAGCACCGGCUAACUCCGUGCCAGCAGCCGCGGUAAUACGGAGGGUGCAAGCGUUAUCCGGAUUUACUGGGUUGAAAGGGUGCGUAGGUGGAUUGGUAAGUCAGGGGUGAAAUCUUCGCCCUUAACUCGAAAACUGCCUUUGAUACUAUUCUGCUUGACUAUCCUGGAGGUGAGCGGAAUAUGUCAUGUAGCGGUGAAAUGCUUAGAUAUGACAUAGAACACCAAUUGCGAAGGCAGCUCACUACCGGAUUAUUGACACUGAGGCACGAAAGCAUGGGGAUCAAACAGGAUUAGAUACCCUGGUAGUCCACGCCCUAAACGAUGGAUACUCGACA
rnacentral:rRNA from 1 species